rnacentral:rRNA from 1 species
UACGUAGGUGGCAAGCGUUGUCCGGAUUUACUGGGCGUAAAGGGCGUGCAGGCGGUUUGUUAAGUCUAGGGUGAAAGCUCCCGGCUCAACUGGGAGAGGUCCUUGGAUACUGGCGAACUUGAGGGAUGCAGAGGAAAGUGGAAUUCCCGGUGUAGUGGUGAUAUGCGUAGAGAUCGGGAAGAACAUCGGUGGCGAAGGCGGCCUGCUGGGCUCUUGCUGACACUGAGGCGCGACAGCGUGGGGAGCAAACAGG